UGUCCGAAACGAACCUCAAACUGUAAAUCCCCGAAAUAAGCACCCUCAACUCACUAAUCCCGGUUUAUCCCUGCGUGAUGGUAUUCGAAUAAAAAAAACGCUGACAUGGCGGGUUAGCACAGGGAUCGGUUGACUGGAUGGGUCGUCGCCGUCUUAACUGCCACGAAUCAGAUCGAAUCGAAUCGAAGGGGAACGGAAGUAGGCUUAGUGGCUACAGAGAGAGGAGAUUGAACAGGGGACUCUGAUUUAGCCGCCGCCACCGGCGGAGGAUGUGGCGCUCGGCGAUAUUGUCCUUAUCCAGUGCGUCUUCUCCGCGCAGCUGUGGCUGUUUGUUGAGGUGUUCGCCGGUGCUGUACCGGGAGGAUCCCAUGGCGCAGGAGCACAUGACCCCGCAGAUGAGGGAAGAAGCCAACGCGGUGGAUUUCAUGGAGUGCCAGGAACCCAGUGAGAUGUGUGCGAUGUUGGACAGACUGGAGGAUGUGUAUACGCUGAGUGGUGUGAUCAAGCAACAACUCUAUUUCUUCAUGAUUUGCUUGGCGAUCUAUGUGGAGGUUGCAGAGAGAACUUGAAGCUUGAGCUCAACCAAGACAAAACGCGACUAUUGCUGCACAGAGAGAGGAGAAUGAACUGAAGAAUGCCCAGAUAGAUGCAAUUAGGGAAAAAAUUAAGAGUGCAAUGUAUGUCAGGUUUAGUCCGAGGUUUGAUGUGAGGCUAGAUGUAGCAAUGUAAUGUAAUACUGUAAUGUAUAUCUGGAAUUGUCUCUGAAAUUUGCAACCUAUGAAUAAAGAAUUUUCAUUGAAUUUUA